rnacentral:rRNA from 1 species
UUCCCCUAGUAACUGCGAGUGAAGCGGGAAAAGCUCAAAUUUAAAAUCUGGCAGUCUUUGGCUGUCCGAGUUGUAAUCUAGAGAAGUAUUAUCCGCGCUGGACCGUGUACAAGUCUCCUGGAAUGGGGCGUCAUAGAGGGUGAGAAUCCCGUCUUUGACAUGGACUGCCAGGGCUUUGUGAUGUGCUCUCAAAGAGUCGAGUUGUUUGGGAAUGCAGCUCAAAAUGGGUGGUAAAUUCCAUCUAAAGCUAAAUAUUGGCGAGAGACCGAUAGCGAACAAGUACCGUGAGGGAAAGAUGAAAAGAACUUUGGAAAGAGAGUUAAACAGUACGUGAAAUUGCUGAAAGGGAAACGCUUGAAGUCAGUCGCGUUGGCCAGGGAUCAACCUUGCUUUUUUGCUUGGCUUACUUUCUGGUCGAUGGGUCAGCAUCAAUUUUGACCGGUGGAAAAAGUUCAAGGGAAUGUGGCAUCUUCGGAUGUGUUAUAGCCUUUGUUCGCAUACAUUGGUUGGGAUUGAGGAACUCAGCACGCCGCAAGGCCGGGUUUUUAACCACGUACGUGCUUAGGAUGCUGGCAUAAUGGCUUUAAUCGACCCGUCUUGAAACACGGACCAAGGAGUCUAACAUGCCUGCGAGUGUUUGGGUGAAAAACCCGAGCGCGUAAUGAAAGUGAAAGUUGAGAUCCCUGUCGUAGGGAGCAUUGACGCCCGGAUCUGACCUUUUGUGACGAUUCUGCGGUAGAGCAUGUAUGUUGGGACCCGAAAGAUGGUGAACUAUGCCUGAAUAGGGUGAAGCCAGAGGAAACUCUGGUGGAGGCUCGUAGCGAUUCUGACGUGCAAAUCGAUCGUCAAAUUUGGGUAUAGGGGCGAAAGACU